CCUAGAGUUGUAGGCUUUGCCUGCUAUCUCUUACCCAUGUCUUUUGAAUACCUUCGUUUCCUCGGCGGGUCCGCCCGCCGAUUGGACAAUUUAAACCAUUUGCAGUUGCAAUCAGUGUCUGAAAAAACUUAAUAGUUA
rnacentral:misc_RNA from 1 species